rnacentral:rRNA from 1 species
CCCUUAGACGUUCUGGGCCGCACGCGCGCUACACUGACCAGUGCAACAAGCAUCCGUCCUUGGCCGACAGGCCCGGGCAAUCUUUGAACGCUGGUCGUGAUGGGGAUAGACUUUUGCAAUUUUUGGUCUUCAACGAGGAAUUCCUAGUAAACGCAAGUCAUCAACUUGCAUUGAUUACGUCCCUGCCCUUUGUACACACCGCCCGUCGCACCUACCGAUUGAAUGGUCCGGUAAAGCCUCCGGAUUGGCGCGCACCUCGGUGCCGCCGAGAAGUUGGCUAAACCUUACCAUUUAGAGGAAGGUGAAGUCGUAACA